AGGUUCCCAGGCUAGGGGUCUAAUCAGGGCUGUAGCUGCUGGCGUACUCCAUAGAAACACCAAAUCCAAGUGGUGUCUGUGAUCUACACCACACCUCAUGGCAAUGUUGGAUCCUUAACCCACUGAGUGAGCCCAGGGAUCAAACCCACAUCCUCAUGGAUCCUAGUCAGGUUCGUUAGCUGCUGAGCCAUGAAGGGAACUCCUGAAAUAAUAUUAAUGUAGUAAAUGAGCUGAGUACUCAAAUUAUUUGUAAUAUGACAUUUUGCUUUACUCACAUUUAUUUGAAAAUUCUACCAAACAUGUUUUAAUUGAACAUGUUUCUCCAUACGUCUUUUUGAAAUCUUUUAGAGAUUUACUAUGAUUGUUUUCUUAAUAAGAAACAAUUUAGUUUUGAUAUGUGAAGUAUGCAUUCAAUUUGAGUUUUAUAGGAUGUCAUCGGUGUUCUCUUUGUGUUUAAGUGAGCUCUAGUCACCCAGGCACAGAGGAAAAAGGAGAAAGAGAUCUGAUUCUGAACAUUUUGUAUUUUCCUAGGAUUGGGUUAUAUUCACAAAAGGUUAUUACUGUCUGUAGCACAGUCAGCCCAAACAUCUUCUGCUUAGCCUUAUGAAAGCCAAAGUAGCAUUUAGCUUAUUGCCAUUGAUGCUUCACUGACAUUACCACACAUCCUUGCCAGCCUCCAGCACUCUAUCUUGCUUUAAAAAAAUGGGUUUACCAGAUGUCCCAUUUUAAAGACGUCCAGGGUUUGUAGAGCACCAUUUUUGGGACAUGGAUCUUAAAUUAUUGAAUGCUGAAAUCCCACUCCUCAUAAUGUUAAUCUUAACAAAAAUUUAAUAUCACAAACAUUUAAGAUGUUCUGGAUUUUAUAAAAUAAAUAAGUUGCAAUAUCAGUGACUUAAGAAGUGCUGGAAAACAGGUUCAUUGUGUGUGAAGUGAUAAAACCAAACAUCAUUUUCACACUUUUUUUCCUAAAAUUAUUCUAGCACCUUCUAAAUAAGAACUUGAGAAAACCAGUUAAUUACCCUGUUCUAAUUAAAAUAAUUAAACCCAUAACUGAAAAUUUAUGUUGAACAUCUUGCAUUUACUAGCAUGCAGCAAGAAUUUUCACAUUUUAUGUUAUUUCAUAAAGUUUUCUUUCCAGGUUUUUUUUGUUUGUUUGUUGGUUUGUUUGAUUGUUUGUUUUGACAUGGGGCACAAACUAAAAGAAUCACAAUAAAAAUCGUUCUUUGAGUCUGUCUGGACUUGUGAUUUAUUCAGUAUAUAACUCCCGCUGAUACUUUGUAUGCUAUUUAUCUUUUUUUUUUUUUUCUUUUUAGGGCCACACUUGCAGCGUAUGGAAAUUCCCAGGCUAGGGGUUGAAUCGGAACUGUAACUGCUGGCCUACACCACAGCCACAGCAAUGUGGGAUCUGAGCUGCAUCUGUGACUUAUACCACAGCUCAUAGCUAAGCGAGGCCAGGGAUCGACCCCACAGCCUCAUGGGUACUAGUCAGAUUUGUUUCCGUUAUGCCACAAUGAGAACUCCCUUAUCAUCUCUUUAACUUAAUGGGCAAAUCAUUUUAUGAUUAUGCCUAUUAUUAAGAAUGACUAAUUUAUUUACAUAUUGCGAAUGCUUCCAUAAUGACUUAUAUAAACAGGGUAAUAUUAAAUAAAAGUGUAAAAGAAUUUUGCUUUUGAGAGUCUACUAUGCCAUAUUCAGUAUGUUAAAUAAGACUUUCAUAUUGGCUAAUUCAUUAAAGUUUCACAACUACUAGAUUUGGAAACUGAGACUUGGAGAAAAUAGAAAGCAGAUACAAAGUCAUAAAAAUACUAACCAAACCAAGACAGUCCUAAACUUAAGCCAGCACUGAUAUCAAGUAAACUGUACUGCUACACUACCUAGUGACACUUUAAAAUUUCAAAAAUUCCAAACAUUUAUAAAAAAUACAAAAACAAAUGAAACUGACAUCCAUACCCCUUAGAUUCAAUAGGUGGUAGCAUUUUGCUAUUUUAAUUCAGUUAUCUCUUGCUCCCUUACCUUCCCCUCUCACUUUGAGAACUGUACUAAAUAUUUAGUCUGCUAUUGUGGUUGUCAACUAAAGGCAGUCUUGCCCUCGGCCCCACCCCCGCCCCCGGAGACUUUGACCAUUUCUACUGACAGUUUUGGUUGUCAGGUUUGGAAGGUAAGGUAUUACUGUCAUCUAAAGUAUAGAGAAGAGAUGCUGCUAAAUAUCCUCUGAUGCACAGAAUAGGCUUCACAGCAAAGACUGAAUUCUUCCCCAUUUCUUUCCCAUUCUCUUUCUUCCCAGAGGAUCAGAAAGUUGGUGUGUGUCAUAUUUUUGCAAGUUUUCAUAUUUUAUUACAUGUGUUUACAGACAGUGUGACCAAGAUGUUCCCUUGGGUACCUAAGGUAAAUUUGAUUCUUGUGUUGCUGCCUUGCUGAGAAAGACAAAAAUCCAAAGAUUAAAAUAAUACUAAAAUUAAAAAAUAAAUACCACCACCAUGACAAACAUAAUUUUAUGCAUUUGUGUUUUACAUAAAUCAUGUGAUUUUUUUUUUUUAAAGAACAGGAAGGUGUUUAACUCAAUCCCUUUACUAGGAUCAUUUUAUUUACUAUAGAUAUAUAAUGUAUUUUAAUAUCUCAUGGGUGAGUUCACCCUUUCUUAUUCCUAUAUUGAUAUAUUUCUCUUAACUGUUCCGUCAGCUGUAGCUGAAGACUUUCAUGUUUCAUAAAAGUCUCAUUUUGAUUUUAACUGAAAGUGCACUGCAUCCAUAGUUUAAUUAAUUCUUGCCAUCUUUAAUAAUCUUUCUUCUAAGAAAAAUAAUUUUCUCCAUUGAUGCACAUCUUCCUUUGUCCUCAAUCAUGUUUGCCCAAUUGUUUUGUUAUAUUUUUUUUUCAGAUACCUUACAAUUUUGUCUCUUUUGCAAAUGCUACCUUUAAAACAAUUUUCCGGUAUUUUGUUGCUUGUGAUUACAAAAGCAAAUUUGCUGAAUAAUCCUAUUUGCUGAGCAUGCUUCAGAAUAUAUAGAUUCUGAAUAGAGAUAUAAUAGAUAGCCAGAUAUAGAUAUAUGUAUAUAUUUUUCUUGGUCUUUUUUUUUUUUUUUGCGGUGGGGGGAGCACACCCAUGGCAAAUGGAAGUUUCCAGGUUAGGGGUUUAAUCAGAGCCAUAGCCACUGACCUAUGCCACAGUCACAGCAACGCAAGAUCCGAGCUGUGUCUGUGACCUACAUCACAGGUCAUGGCAAAGCCAGAUUCUUUAACCCACUGAGUGAGGCCAGGGAUGGAAUCCUCAAGGAUACUAGUUGGGUUCAUUUUCACUGAGCCACAGUGGGAACUCCACUUCAGAAUAUUUUACAUUGUCUAUGUGGACAGCCACGUUAUAUGUGUAUUGUUUAUUCCUUUUUGAUAUUUGUCUUUUGCUUACUUUGAAAUUAAGAACAUUCUUAAAUAGAAGCAUAAAAUUAUAAGUGUACCUCGUUAUCAUCUCCCUGUCUUUAAGGGGCUCUUUUUCAAGUUUACCAAAGAUGUGGUAUCACUAAAAUUUUCAUUAGUCUUUACUAUGUUCAAGGACUUUGUCUUCUAUAUCCGUUCCAUAAAUGGAUACUCACUUUUGUCAAGUGGGUUUUCUAUAUUUAUUGGCAAUAUCAUAUUGCUAUUCUUCUUUAAUUUAUUAUUUUGAGGAAUUAAAUGUAUACAUAAGAUGGUGUUGAAACAUUUCUGAAUUCCUGGGAUAAAUCCUGUUUCAUCAUGAAACAUUAUAUACCUACAAUCACUUCUGGAUUUGUUUGACUUGAAGAAGAGAGUCAUUAUUCUAAGGAUUUUUGUGUUAUUUAUUUGUUCUGUUAUAAUAAGCCUCUCUCUCUGGAUGAUUUUAAUAUCUGCCUUUGGUGUUCUGUGAUUUUUGACUGGGAUGUGUCUAGGUGUAGUACUUCUUGGACUCUAAAUGUUCAGUUUGAGAAUUCAUAUCAUUCAUUACCUCUGCAAAUUCUCAGUCAUUAUCUCUUUGAAAUAUGAAUUUUUUCUUGUUUUUUGUAAUCUCUCUUACUGAACUAAUACUAGAUGAAUCUUAGACUCUCUCCUUGAUGACAUUUAACUUUUACAGUCUUAUAAAUUCUAGGUGAUUUAUAUAGCUCCGUCAAUCUACAAAUUCUCUCUUCAAAUAUAGUAAAUUUUAUUUUAGUUAUUCUAUGCUUAUGUACAAAAGUUCACAUCAUAUGGAUUUAUUUAAUUUUUACAUUUUAAUCAUUAGACUGGUAUUUUAUAAUCCUUUUUAAGAUUUUUCUAUCAUUAACUUAGGCUUGAGGAUUCCUAAUUUUUGUGUCUGCUGAUACUCUGACUGUUUUGCUUAUUUUUAAUAAGAUUUUACUUUUAGGAAAACUUGUUUUUGUUUCUAUUUGUAAACCUUAUAUGAUCUGUAGUAUAAUAAUCCCCCUGGUAUAGAUUUGCUUCUACUAGGUGGUCCUAGCAGGAUUUCUAUUAAAAAUCAAGUUUUUGGCAUAUUGACAUUCAAUCAGAAAAAUAGUGCCCAAGACAAGUAGUGACCAAUCUUUAUGCUGAGGCUCCCCCCCCUUUCAGAGUCCAAGUAGAAAGAGUUGUUUAUGAGCCAGUGUGCAGAUUUUCCUAGUUCAAUUUAAUGAGAGUACCAUCAUAAGUAGGGAUUUCUUUCAAAUUCCAGCCAUGUAUUUACCUAGUACAUUGUCUCCUCUUCUGAUGUGAGCACUGCAUUUGAAGGAUCUAGUCAAUCAUUGCUUCCACUUCCUCCUCCUCACCUGAUUCCGAACAUCAGCUCACCCCUUAACUGUUCAUGCUUUCAGUUUCUUUAUUCCUGCCACUGAGGAAAACACUAUGGAGACUCCUCAGAAAACUAAACAUAGAACUAUCAUUUGAUCCAGCAAUUCUACUCCUGGGAAAAUUGAAAACACUAAUUGAAAAGAUACAGGCACUCCAGUGUUCACAGCAGCAUUAUUUACAAUAGCCAAGAUUUGGAAGCAACCUAAGUGUCCAUCA
rnacentral:lncRNA from 1 species